rnacentral:rRNA from 1 species
GACGAACGCUGGCGGCGUGCUUAACACAUGCAAGUCGAACGGUAAGGCCCUUCGGGGUACACGAGUGGCGAACGGGUGAGUAACACGUGGGUGAUCUGCCCUGCACUUCGGGAUAAGCCUGGGAAACUGGGUCUAAUACCGGAUAGGACUCCGGACUGCAUGGUCUGGGGUGGAAAGCUUUUGCGAUGUGGGAUGGGCCCGCGGCCUAUCAGCUUGUUGGUGGGGUGAUGGCCUACCAAGGCGACGACGGGUAGCCGGCCUGAGAGGGUGACCGGCCACACUGGGACUGAGAUACGGCCCAGACUCCUACGGGAGGCAGCGGUGGGGAAUAUUGCACAAUGGGCGCAAGCCUGAUGCAGCGACGCCGCGUGAGGGAUGACGGCCUUCGGGUUGUAAACCUCUUUCAGCACCGACGAAGCGCAAGUGACGGUAGGUGCAGAAGAAGGACCGGCCAACUACGUGCCAGCAGCCGCCGUAA